rnacentral:rRNA from 1 species
AACGAACGCUGGCGGCAUGCCUAACACAUGCAAGUCGAACGAGACCUUCGGGUCUAGUGGCGCACGGGUGCGUAACGCGUGGGAACCUGCCCUUAGGUUCGGAAUAACUCCCCGAAAGGGGUGCUAAUACCGGUUAAUGUCUUCGGACCAAAGAUUUAUCGCCUUUGGAUGGGCCCGCGUUGGAUUAGCUUGUUGGUAGGGUAAAAGCCUACCAAGGCGACGAUCCAUAGCUGGUCUGAGAGGAUGAUCAGCCACACUGGGACUGAGACACGGCCCAGACUCCUACGGGAGGCAGCAGUGGGGAAUAUUGGAAAAUGGGCGAAAGCCUGAUCCAGCAAUGCCGCGUGAGUGAUGAAGGCCUUAGGGUUGUAAAGCUCUUUUACCCGGGAUGAUAAUGACAGUACCGGGAGAAUAAGCUCCGGCUAACUCCGUG